AGGCUUUGCUGUGUUGUGUGGGGAACGGCUGGGGUUAUUCGCUGUUCGGUUCUCGGAUGUGUAACGUCUGUCCCAUUUUGGACCGUUUAUUCUGUUUUUUUUAAAGGGGCAGAGAAUCGACAGUUUCUUGGGGCUGCUUGGUGUGCAAUCGUUCUUUUUUGUGUUACCUGUCUGUAUCUUUAUAUAUAUUUAAUUUAGAGUUUGUUAAUAAAUACGCAUCUUAAAAGUGACUGCGGGCCUGUGUUUUUCAACUAGUAGCAGAGAGCAUGGUCUUAUGAUCCAAUCUAACUUUAAGAACGAGCCCUACCGAACCAGGAUUAUGUGAGGUAGGCAGACCUGGUAUAUGACAUAACGAUGCGUAAGGGAGUUUACACACAACAGUUGUAGGCCCUCGACCUUCAAGAAUAUUUACGUGAUUUAAGCGGCUGGGAGAUUCACGUCUCUACCUUGGAAUCUAUCGAAACUCUGGAAGACGUACGGCGGAUUUUUUAAUUACCAGUUUUUGCGGCUAUUCAUGGUGAUACAUGGUGAAGGAAAGUUAAGUUAUUACCGAGCUGAAUACGCACACGUCAUGAUGACAGUUUGGAGGACUAAAGGUAUAGCUCCACGGAUUCUUAGCCUAUGCACUAGAUUCAGUUUCACGCUCCAACCACUUAAGUCCCUUACAAAAAUUUACCGUUACCCAUUGCAUGUGAGGUCAGAUUGUCCCGAAAGUCGGUCUGGAUGCAAAAGCAAAAGGUAACCCCAUGGCCCUGCCGGGAAUCCAAACCUGGUCGUCCAGCUCUUAGCCUAGUUAACUGUACUGACGGAUUUGCCUCGGCGCUGAUAUCCUAUUUUAUCAUUAAUGUUUAUCGCCUUCCUUUUGACUUGCGGGUUUGUUUCUGUUUGUUGACUGCUACAUGGUUGUUUAUCUCCUGUCUAAUCCUUGGAAACUCUAACAGCGAGUUUUCAAUUAAUUGUCCGCCUUAGUUUAAGACAAUCCUAACUGAAACACAUGUAACGCCGCAAGCGGACGAGAGCCUUCACUGCCAUUAAUGAAACUUCUUGACAUGCAUCGUUUACCGGAAACCAAGAGGCACAGAACGCCUUUGUUGGGGAAACCAAACUCCGAUGUCUUAUCGCGUUAAAGUUCAACAAGUUUGUCUUGCAGAUGUGUCGAAAGCGCAGUGCUAACAAUAGGAUCUUGCGAAAACGGGUCGACGCAGCUGUAAAUAUUUGUAAUGGACAAGAAUAACAUGCGUGCAUCAAGAAAAUAUUUACAUUCUCUUAAAACAGAAGAUAAGAAUUAAUAUGUCUUAUAGAUUACGUGAUAUUAUAAUAGAUUUAAAUUAAUAUUAUUAUUUUACUAUUCACAAAGCGAUUCUGUGCGCUCGAGAUCCGAGGGAUGGGAGGAAGGCGGCAUACAUUUGAUAUAUUAACGACUCUUUUAAUUAAUUUUGGUUAGUAAUAACCUGAUAUGUGUUUGCAGGGCCUGGGGCGACGAAAGUUGUAAUUUUAAAAAAUAGAUAUUGAAUAAAUACAACCACUUACACAAUGCUCUAAAAUAAUUUUAUAUUUUUUUCUGAAUAUGGUCUUCGAAACGCUUAUAAACGGGUUCUUGUUUUAUUUUAAAAUAAUGCAUAGAAAAAAAUUGACUAAAGCGAUAUUAGAAUAGGAAACAUGGAAAGUCUUUGCCACAUUUGGAGAAAGUAACUGCCAUUUUUAUCCAAAGAAACUAGCUCAUAAACCAAUAUCGAAAAUCAGCUCCAUCUGAAUUUAGGUUUACCAAUCUUUUCUCCUUAUCUACUUUUAUAGGAUGUAUUGCAACAUCAUAUGAUAAUCUUACCAAUCCAGACUGUGACAUUCUGAGAUGUGACACCGUUUAGCCUUAUAAGUGGUCACCAGCGUUUUCGAAAGAACAUACUGCCUCCAUCUUCCUUACUCCGAAGAUGGAGGCAGCGCGUAGAAACCUUUAAUUUCUAAACAUUACACAUUUUGUUACGACGUGUAGGCUGUUGUUUUAACCAAAAUCAAUGCUGUGAUUUGCGUACUCAUUGGCCACAUAACAGGAGACAUGAUGAGGUGUAAUGAAUUCGCUGUAAAGGUGAGAAAAUGUGGUAUAAUGAAUCAUAAACUUCUGUUGAAAAUUUAUGUCAUAUUAAAUGCAUUAUCU